UCCUUUCCAGCGAUCCAAUCUAAUAACCGACAGCUAUCACUGCAACGGCUUCUGAACAGCCCGAGAGGUGACAAAUCUCCCACUGCUCACCGACGCCUCAAGUUACUAAGUUCAGUUAGAAAAUACCCAGGAACAAAACUCAGAGCUCUGUCUCAGCGCAACUCAAACGAGUUCAGACAACUCUGCUGCCAAGAGCCACGACGAAGAGCGACACCGCAACCAUAACGCCCGCGGGCACGAAGCGUUCCGGGGUCUCAGGGGUACAGGAACUUCAGCUCUGUGAAGAUUUGGGGGAUCUCUGAUAUUAGCAAUUAACUGGAAACAGACUGAAAAUCUGAAAGGUUUGCUAAUUCAGUAAAUGACUUCAUGCACAGACUCAAACAACACCACCGGAGGAGCAAGCGGCCUUCCUUCACCCACCUCGCUCGCUUCUCCCAGAGCCGGGCAGCCUCCUGGCUAAUCCCCCAAAGCUGCUGCUCCGGCAGGUUUUCCUUCUCACUGUGAAGGGUGGCAGCCCUCCGGGGAAUGACUGCUUUGCGGGAUGGGACAAGCCACAAGGAGGCAGACUGGAUGGACUGUAAGCUAUGAAAACACAUCUAAAAUGAGCUAUCCACUGCACAAAAACCCUUACGGAGAGGAAAUUAUGUAGAGAAUCUAAAAAGAACUGCAAAGGGAAACGGUGCUCCCGCGGUCAGGGCAGCGGUCUGGAUCCGAAACAACCCACACAGCUCUGUCCCAGCUGCCACUCACUCACAGAGCGGCAGGCAGGACAGUCGCAGCUCUACAGCUUCAGAACAGGGACUAUUUACCCAUCUGACAGUAAUAUACUGAAUUGAAUCACAGAGGCUGCUCAAGUCAACGCAGUAGUAAACAACACAGGAAGCCCUAUAAAUAAUAAAUUUUCCUCUACAACAGCUCUUUUCUAAUAAACUUCCCAGUUUUAUCAAAGCUCACGGAGAUAGCUGUCUUCCUAGUAAAGGUAUCAAGGCUUCUCACAGCGUACGGGAGGGAGGAGGAAGGCAGAAACUUUUAAGCAUGGAGAUGAAAGUGUACAAAUAUGUUACAGGGAAAGUAAGCAAACAGCACUUCAACUCAUUGCCCCACAUCUAGUUACUAAAGGAAGAAGCAAGGCUGAAUUUCUGCUUGAAAAAGCUAAGCUGGAAACUAUUUUGUAAUACGCUGUCUCGGUCUUACAUUUUGCAAGUUCUCACAUGUGCCAAUGCAUGGUUGCAGAAUAACUUUGCAGCUCGCAGUGCACAGACACGCACACGACAGCCCAUGGUUUUAACCCACCCAUCCCGCGCUGCCGUGCAGCACGCCGUACUGGCACACGCGGAAGACUCUCAGAUUCCAGCAUCGAGUCCCCUCAAUUAUUAUUCUCAGGCUACAGGCAAAAAAGAGCUGAGGCAAUUCGAAGAACAAAUUGCAAAAUUACGGUUGUAAACAGAAACAGUACUUAGUCACAACAAACUUUUUUGUCGGAAGUCUGACAUAAGCAACCAUGUGCUAAACAGCCGUGCUGUUUUCUCAGUGCAAUGCUGCUGAUGGCAGAGGGCUGCAGGAGUUGGCUACUUGGUGCCUAUACUGCGGCUUUUCCCGACUUCACUUUGUCGACCCCUUUUACUGCUUGCUAGCACCAGCUCUGAUCUGAAAUUUAAAUGCAGGAACUCCAACAGCGGUUCAGGAAAAAAUGGAAAGCGAGGAAAAAAUUUAGCUCCCCACAUGCUUAUCCUUCCCCC